AACGAACGCUGGCGGCAUGCCUAACACAUGCAAGUCGAACGGAUGGUUUCGGCCAUCAGUGGCGCACGGGUGAGUAACGCGUGGGAAUCUGCCCAGCAGUGGGGGAUAACCUCUGGAAACGGAGGCUAAUACCGCAUACGCCCCUCGGGGGAAAGGCUUGCUGCUGCUGGAGGAGCCCGCGUCGGAUUAGGUAGUUGGUGGGGUAACGGCCUACCAAGCCUGUGAUCCGUAGCUGGUCUGAGAGGAUGAUCAGCCACACUGGGACUGAGACACGGCCCAGACUCCUACGGGAGGCAGCAGUGGGGAAUAUUGGACAAUGGGCGCAAGCCUGAUCCAGCAAUGCCGCGUGAGUGAUGAAGGCCUUCGGGUUGUUAAAGGACUCUUUCGUCCCACGACGAUGAUGACGGUAGUGGGAGAAGAAG
rnacentral:rRNA from 1 species